AGUGAACGCUGGCGGUAGGCCUAACACAUGCAAGUCGAACGGCAGCACAGUAAGAGCUUGCUCUUACGGGUGGCGAGUGGCGGACGGGUGAGGAAUACAUCGGAAUCUACUUUUUCGUGGGGGAUAACGUAGGGAAACUUACGCCAAUACCGUAUACGACCUACGGGUGAAAGCAGGGGAUCUUCGGAUCUUGCGCGAUUGAAUGAGCCGAUGUCGGACUAGCUAGUUGGCGGGGUAAAGGCCCACCAAGGCGACGAUCCGUAGCUGGUCUGAGAGGAUGAUCAGCCACACUGGAACUGAGACACGGUCCAGACUCCUACGGGAGGCAGCAGUGGGGAAUAUUGGGCAAUGGGCGCAAGCCUGAUCCAGCCAUACCGCGUGGGUGAAGAAGGCCUUCGGGUUGUAAAGCCCUUUUGUUGGGAAAGAAAAGCAGCAGGUUAAUACCCCGCUGUUCUGACGGUACCCAAAGAAUAAGCACCGGCUAACUUCGUG
rnacentral:rRNA from 1 species